rnacentral:rRNA from 1 species
CGUGUAGGCGGCCUUUCAAGUCGAAUGUGAAAGCCCGGGGCUCAACCCCGGAAUUGCAUCCGAUACUGUUGGGCUUGAGUGCGGGAGAGGGAAGUGGAAUUCCCAGUGUAGAGGUGAAAUUCGUUGAUAUUGGGAGGAACACCCGAGGCGAAAGCGGCUUCCUGGCCUAGCACUGACGCUGAGACGCGAAAGCGUGGGGAGCAAACA